rnacentral:rRNA from 1 species
GAUUUCUGGCUUGAAACAUUUUGCCGGCCACGGUUUCGUGUGUUAGUGCUUGAUGUUCUGGCCAUCCUUCCAAUUGUCAUUCACUUCUCUUCAUUGAUUGGUGAGUGGUAUUGGAUCUUUUACUUUGAAAAAAUUAGAGUGUUUCAAGCAGGCUUUAUGCUAUGAAUACAUUAGCAUGGAAUAAUAAUAUAGGACUUUGGUUCUAUUUUGUUGGUUUCUAGGACUGAAGUAAUGAUCGAUCGGGAUAGUUGGAGGUGCUAGUAUUCAGUGGCCAGAGGUGAAAUUCUUGGAUUCACUGAAGACUAACUACUGCGAAAGCAUU